CUUGUACACACCGCCCGUCACACCAUGGGAGUGGGUUGCAAAAGAAGUAGGUAGCUUAACCUUCGGGAGGGCGCUUACCACUUUGUGAUUCAUGACUGGGGUGAAGUCGUAACAAGGUAACCGUUGGGGAACCUGCGGUUGGAUCACCUCCUUACCUUAAAGAA
rnacentral:rRNA from 1 species